rnacentral:misc_RNA from 1 species
CGCAAACUACUUAGGCGGAGUUUAGACUUUUAUAGAUCAUGGAAGAAAUAUAAUUGAAUAAAAUUUUAGGGCAUUGUUCUGUUAAGUUUUAUUUCAUAAUAUUCCCUUACAUUAUGGUAAAUAUGCAUGUCAGGUCUUAUGGCCAAAAAAGGCAGAUCUGUGUUUGGAAAUUUCUAGCAAUAAUGGCUUGAAUUCUUGUACCGAGGGGCUUGAACUUGGGUACUAAUAAUGAAAUCAGUAGAGAAUAAAUAUGAUCAAAUCAAAAGCUGUUCAAAGAUUCCUUUUCCAAAUCCAUUACUGUAAAAUCCAUAUGAUUGACGACCUUAUGCCUUGUCAAAUUCCUAAAGUACUCUUAACGAAAAUACAUAGAUGAAAUCGUGCACGAAUCACAAAGUUAGAUUUUAUUUUUACCAUAAACCUUAGACAGCCCUACAUUUUUUGGGUGCCAGUGGUGUCUUGAUGAAUGUAGCCUAGAAAACUAGGACAGAAGAUUAAGAUAAAGUGGGAAAUUUUGAUGGAAUAAGUGUUGGAGUUGACCACCUCCUGAGACAGACUUUGAAAGUGAUCUAAUGCUAGAAAAUUUGAAGUGGCUUUUAACUGAAUUCUUUAUAUUUUUCCAUUCUCUUGAAGGCAUGCUAGAAAAUAUAAUAACUAUCAAGGCUUAGACUUGUAAAUACAACCUUGGAACUGGAAUUGACUAAUGACUAAAGACCACAUCUAGCAACUUGAAUUGAAAAGCUAAAAGAUGCUAUCAGUCUGUUUAUUCUAGAGAAUUCUCAUUAACUAUGUCUGGUGAUUCGAUUGCUAGGGUAAAAUCACAAGACAGAAAAAAAGCCCAGUACAUUGAAGUCUAUCAAUCAAGCUUCCAAGUUUGUCAUCAUAGACAAUUAAAUAAUCAUCCAAAUUUAAAAAGUCCUUGAAUAUAACCCUUGUUGUCAUAAAUCUGCAAUAUUUAUAACCUUUGUUGACACAAAUCUGCAAAUAUAUCAAGAAGCUUUGCAUGCUUAUUUUGUACUUAUAUUUUUGCAUAUGAUUGCCUUUCUAUAUGUUACUUGGGAUGGUAGCAUUUAGUUUGAUUUAAUACACAUUGGGAUGUCCAAUUAGUACCAGAUGUAGUUCCCAAUGUACGUACUUGAAUUUUAAACAUGCUCAAAAGCACCAAAUGCACAUCAAGGAGGAUUAAAAGAAACAAUUAUUGUCAAGUACAAAUGCAUUCCUGUAUGUCCCCAUUUUAUGUCUGUGUUACCUAGGAUAAAUAUGGCUAGAAAGGGUAUUCUGGUAAGUUCAUUUUUUGGACAAACAGUACUGCUUCCUUGUCUAGAAGGUUGAUUGGUUUGUUAGGAUCUAGUAUUGACCUUCAUCAAGUUUCAGGCUGCUUCCAUUCUAAAUGCUUUUCCUUUCGUUUGGCUUAGGACUUGGAAUUUCUGCUGAGUUGAGUUGUGAAAUUUAACUUCAUUGUGCAUGCUUCUGCUUUCUGUACCCUUUCUUAAGGAUAACCUAUUAUAUCACUCAUUUUUUUAAUCAGAAACUCUGCCUUUUAAAAUGAGAAACUAUGUGCCCUCUUUUGCAUUAAUAUGAUGCCUUAUUGCCUUCCCAUGCAUGCUUAAGUUCCUGUAAUUUGCUUGAGGCUAUUCAUUAAUUUGAAUUGUUUUUUAUGUACAUAAUUACUUGGAUAUUUGCUCAAGAUGCUUACCACACUGAUUCACUGAAUGAAGCAUGCAUUACACAUUUGGAAUUGUAUAAAAUAAUGUAAAAUACUUAUGGUUCAUUAUUCUUGUUAUGUAACAAGUUCAUGUUGAACCAUGCUUUCCAAUUUGAUUGCACAGUAAGGACAAGUUGUGGUAAUACAUGGAGGGCUUGUGUGGAUUUGCAUAGCAGCCCAAAAUUUAUUUAUGGAUGGAUGUUGGUGGGCCUCUUUUUUCCUUAUUUUGAGGAUUAAUUUAAGGUUUCCUGUUAAAUCCUACAAAAUAUGUUAUUGAUAAUCAGUUGUCCUAUCUGGGUGAUGUCAUUAUUUUUUAUAUUCAGAUUUAAAUUUUAUUUAAUUUUGCCUUAAGCUGCAUCUGUUGUGGCGGUGCUUCCGUCCAUAUCUUCCCCCCCUUUUUUUGCCUGUUAUGUAAAAGAGUUCAUUGCUAGUGCAGGUUCACAA